UUUCCCAGCGCGCGCCGGACAGCGUAGCGUUUAGUCUCGCGCGCAUGCGGAAGGCUUGAACCGUGUGUGCGUGCGGCGCGCUCUUGCUUGGCUGUUAAGCUGCUUUUGGAAAUAUAUCUACAGCGAGUGUGACACACACGGCUGUUCAGCUAACACUGGGUGGCGUACCCUCACUGCUCAUCUAACACCUGUGCGAAGGUGACUCGCCACACCCGUCAGGUCCCGUGCUGAAGUUACUGCAGUGGCUGAAGCUAAUUAGCAAACUAGGGCUACUAGUGAUGCUGUUACCAAUACACCUGUAAAGCACUCUGAAGCUGGGAGGAAAGCAUGACAGCACCAUCUGUAUCAGAAAUGCAGGGGAAGCAGAAAUACAACAAGAGAGGCUUUACUUCAAAACAUGUUGUGCAAAAGGGAAAUCGGCACCUGCAGGACUGGUGAUAUGUUCAUUGUCCACAGGAUACUCAUCCAGGCUUCAUUUACACUGUAGAUGAAAUGAUGGCGUCCCGCUGACUGAUGACUGGCUGCACAGUCUGGGUAAUAAAACCAGUUUACCCAUCACACCGAUUUUCUGUGCAAUACAUAUUUCCUCCAGGUGUAAGCAGUGGCUG